UACGUAGGGAGCAAGCGUUGUCCGGAAUUACUGGGUGUAAAGGGAGCGUAGGCGGGUUGUUAAGUCAGUUGUGAAAGUUUGCGGCUCAACCGUAAAAUUGCAGUUGAUACUGGCAUCCUUGAGUACAGUAGAGGUAGGCGGAAUUCGUGGUGUAGCGGUGAAAUGCUUAGAUAUCACGAAGAACUCCGAUUGCGAAGGCAGCCUGCUGGACUGUAACUGACGCUGAUGCUCGAAAGUGUGGGUAUCAAACAGG
rnacentral:rRNA from 1 species